GAUGAACGCUGGCGGCGUGCCUAAUACAUGCAAGUCGAGCGAACAGACGAGGAGCUUGCUCCUCUGACGUUAGCGGCGGACGGGUGAGUAACACGUGGAUAACCUACCUAUAAGACUGGGAUAACUUCGGGAAACCGGAGCUAAUACCGGAUAAUAUAUUGAACCGCAUGGUUCAAUAGUGAAAGACGGUUUUGCUGUCACUUAUAGAUGGAUCCGCGCCGCAUUAGCUAGUUGGUAAGGUAACGGCUUACCAAGGCGACGAUGCGUAGCCGACCUGAGAGGGGGAUCGGCCACACUGGAACUGAGACACGGUCCAGAAUCCUACGGGAGGCAGCAGUAGGGAAUCUUCCGCAAUGGGCGAAAGCCUGACGGAGCAACGCCGCGUGAGUGAUGAAGGUCUUCGGAUCGUAAAACGCUGUUAUUAGGGAAGAACAAAUGUGUAAGUAACUAUGCACGUCUUGACGGUACCUAAUCAGAAAGCCACGGCUAACUACGU
rnacentral:rRNA from 1 species